UGUCCCGCGUGUGGAGCUGCUGCCAUAGCUAACCUUGGACCAAUCGAGGCGGCUCUUACUGCGUGGGGUGCCACGGCAUUGGCCAAUGGGAAGCGGCCUUGUUCAGGGCGGCGCAGCCCCGAGUGAGUCUGUGAGCGGAUCAGCCUGGGUGCUGCUCUUGCGGGCGUGAGAAGACGCGAGGGCCGGGCCAGGGGGAUAAAAGCUCUUACAGAUGGCAGAUAACAGUAAAGCGGAAGAUGCUGCCUCUGAUUCUAUGGAAGCUGCUAAAGGUACAGGUGACAAAAAAGAAAAGCUAGCAGACCAAGUGAUGCAGAAUCCACAAGUCUUGGCAGCAUUGCAGGAGCGGCUCGACAAUGCACCUCACACUCCCUCCAGCUACAUUGAAACCUUACCAAAAGCAGUAAAAAGAAGAAUUGAUGCCUUGAAACAGUUACAAGUGAAAUGUGCUCACAUAGAAGCUAAAUUUUAUGAAGAAGUUCAUGAUUUAGAGAGAAAAUAUGCAGCCCUUUACCAGCCUCACUUUGAUAAGAGAAGGGAUUUUAUCACUGGUACUGCUGAACCUACAGAUGCAGAGGCGGAAUGGCACAGUGAAAAUGAGGAAGAAGAAAAACUAGCUGGAGACCUGAAAAAUAAAGUAGUAAUAGAAGAAAAAGAAGCAGGAGCAGCUGAAGAGACGAAUCCCAAUGGAAUCCCAGAUUUUUGGUUUACAAUAUUUAGAAAUGUAGAUAUGCUGAGUGAAUUAGUACAGGAAUAUGAUGAGCCAAUUUUGAAGCACCUGCAGGAUAUCAAAGUGAAAUUUUCUGAGCCAGGACAACCUAUGUCUUUCACAUUAGAGUUCCACUUCGAGCCCAAUGACUACUUUACUAAUUCAGUUCUGACAAAAACCUACAAGAUGAAGUCGGAGCCAGACAAGACGGAUCCUUUCUCAUUUGAAGGCCCUGAAAUUGUUGACUGUGAAGGAUGUACUAUUGAUUGGAAGAAGGGGAAAAAUGUUACAGUUAAAACAAUAAAGAAAAAACAGAAACACAAGGGGCGGGGCACAGUCAGAACAAUUACUAAACAAGUACCCAAUGACUCAUUUUUUAACUUCUUCAGUCCAAUAAAAGUUUCAGGAGAUGGUGAAUCAUUGGAUGAAGAUUCAGAGUGUACUUUAGCUAUAGAUUUUGAAGUUGGGCACUUCUUUCGUGAAAGAAUAGUGCCCCGUGCUGUACUCUAUUUCACUGGGGAAGCUAUAGAAGAUGAUGAUAACUUUGAAGAAGGGGAGGAAGGAGAGGAAGAAGAAUUGGAAGGUGAAGAGGAAGGAGAGGAGGAGGAAGAUGCAGAAAGUGAACCCAAGGUGUAAUUUAAGUCUGUUUAUCAUUCAUUCAUUUAUAGAGGGGCUGUUCCUGAGAUUUCUGAUUCCAGAGCAUUCUGAGCUGCAGAUUCUACUGGAAUCCCUUUUGAUGCUUCUUACCCUGUUUCCCCGAAAGUAAGACCUACCCCGAAAAAAGAUGCCAGCCAGCCUGCUGAAUGCAAACAACAAUAAGGAAAUACCACUUCAGAGUGAUAUUUGAACAACCUGUAACAAAUAUUUGGAUACCUGGCCUGCAGUUCAGGAUAUUCCAUUGCUGCAGCACAAUCUUAUUAACAACGCUUAAAACUAAAUUGUUUUCAGAUGCAUGAUUUUCACUAACUUUUUUCUUAUUUUUGCUUAACUUGUACAGUGGCAACUUAAUGCAUUUGAGAAAUAUGAGGUUUAAUUAAAGCACACUCUACAGCCUUUGGUACACUGUAGCUCAGUUGUCUCAGUAGGCUUUCCAGUUUAAAUUUUAAAAAAAACAAGCAAACUACUUUGCCCUUCUGAAAAACUUGUCCUCACAAUAAAGUAAUUUUUUCUAAAUUAUUGUGGAAUAGUGCACACGAGAAUAUAUUAAAUGAAUGAAAUCCUUACAAUAACAAAAAACAAAGCAAUAUGAUUUCUGCUAGCUCUUACUCCCUUAAAAAUAACAUGUUCCUACAAUCUACCAAUCAGACUAGCGCUAUAGAGAAGCUUGAAAUAUUAUCAUCUCCAGUAAAGGCAAUUGAAGUAACAUUUCCGUUAUCUUCUUGGAAGGAGGUGAUGUUCGAGAGAUACUUAGUUGUUCACCUUAUUUAUUCAUGUUUGUAAGUACUUUGAACUAGUGCUUUUAAUAGUUUUAAAUAUACUUGAAAAAUAUUUUCCUGUUUAUAAAAUAUGGGUACUUGUACAAGGAAAACUCAUACUCGGCUCACAGAAUGGAUAUUUAUCAAACAUUUCAGAAUGACGAAUUGGGAAAGAAAGGCCUCAUGGUUCAAUAGUGGUUGGAAGUGGGUUGCAACACAAAACUGUAUCACUAGCCUAGUUUAGCCUCUUGUGCUGGCCCUGUUCAGGCAGUCUUCCCAGCUGUAGCUCAGGAUUAGACAACCUGCAGCUCAUUUACUCCCUCCCCCUCUCUUGUGUGAGACUUUGCUGCUGUCCAAACCAUUGUUUGUUGUGAUAUCUGAAUUGACAAACUGUGGUUUGCACUUGCCUCCAAACCAGAAUUGGAAGCCCACUUCACACUCUAGCAACUACACUCUAGCAACUGCAAUCAGCAAAUGGUUUGGUUAUUAGGACAUUAUGGCAAGCUGGUUUCCAACACUAUAUGAAAAGUGAAGUGAAAAGUGAAGCUUCUCAUAAAAGGGGAUGAGGAAAGAACGUUUUGGAUCCUGGAAAUAAGGAUUGUCUUAACCAGUCCUAUGAGGUUGUUGGCACUGAAAUGGAAAAAUAGAAAUUAAACUAUAAAUGAGUUGGUAGUUCUGAUAUUUUAUUUGCAAUAUUCAAAUUACUCUGUUCCACAAUUCCUUGGUUUUUAAAUCUCCAAAAUCCUUCAGAAAGUCCGUUCAGAACUACAGGUCCACAUUUCUUAAAUAUACAAUUCCAGUUUCUGGCAACAGUUCAUUAGUAAUUGUAUGAAUGCUGUUACCAGGCAUGUAGAGAGUGCUCCAGCCUUACCUUAUACAUUUGUAACUUAAUACAGUGUUUUCAAUUUGUACAGAAUAGUUAGAAUAUUCUAUUAAAGUUGUGAAACAUGAA